GCUCGCAAACACUUUUUCAGUUCUACCCACAAAUUUUCUAUAGGAUUGAGGUCAGGGCUUUGUGAUGGCCACUCCAAUGCCUUGACUUUGUUGUCCUUAAGCCAUUUUGCCACUACUUUGGAAGUAUGCUUGGGGUCCUUGUCCAUUUGGAAGACCCAUUUGCGACCAAGCUUUAACUUCCUGACUGAUGUCUUGAGGUGUUGCUUCAAAAUAUCCACAUAAUUUUCCAUCCUUAUGAUACCAUCUAUUUUGUGAAUUGCACCAGUCCCUCCUGCAGCAAAGCACCCCCACAACAUGAUGCUGCCACCCCCGUGCUUCACGGUUGGGAUGGUGUUCUUCAGCUUGCAAGCAUCCCUCCUCUUCCUCCAAACAUAACGAUGGUCAUUAUGGCCAAACAGUUCUAUUUUUGUUUCAUCAGACCAGAGGACAUUUCUCCAAAAAGUACAAUCUUUGUCCCCAUGUGCAGUUGCAAACCGUAGUCUGGCUUUUUUAUGAUGGUUUUGGAGCAGUGGCUUCUUCCUUGCUGAGGGGCUUUUCAGGUUAUGUCGAUAUAGGACUCGUUUUACUGUGGCGUCGUGUCUUUGGCAUCAUUAAAUUGAACUGUUAUUUUAUCAAAUCAAUUCUCUGUAAUUAUUAUUACGUGAUUAAACUAAUCAUGUAAAUGUAAUUAACUAGGAAGUCGGGGCACCAAUGAAAAUCUUCAGAUUGCAAAGUUAUAAUUUUCCUAAUAUAACUCUUCAGAUAUUUUAAUAUCUGAUCAAUUAGUCUUCUAAUUAAUGAAUUAUUCUUUACCUCACGUUAGUCUCAUUCCGAAGUCGUAAAUCGUUGGUUAUCUGCACGAAGCCAGCCUUUACUAUGAAUCAUCCAUACAUCAAUUGUCUUAAUCAUUUAUUUACUAACUAACUAUAUAAUCACAGAAAUGCAUAAACAAACAAACAGUAGAUAUGGUUACAAGGAAAUGAUCCCUAGUGGGCUAAGCUGAUUUGACGGCUUGGUGGACAAAGGGUUGUGGGUGUGGACUGAGAAGGGCGAGAAUUAUAAGAGUCACUACACAGUUGAUAAUUAUAUUGAUUGAAAUGCUAAUCCUUUGCACAGCAACGCUCACUCAUUUGGGAAUAAUUGCAAUCAAUACAUAUUUACGCUCAGUGUGUCGUUGUGAUCUCUGUUGGAAUCGUCCAUCUUUCUGUUGGAAAGUUCAUCCGUCCGUGUCUCUGUGCUCCCAUAAAGUCUCUCGUGGUUAGAAUGGAUACUUCAGAGACCCAUUCAGAAUUGUUCUUAUAUCAAAUCAAAUGUAUUUAUAUAGCCCUUCUUACAUCAGCUGAUAUCUCAAAGUGCUGUACAGAAACCCAGUCUAAAACCCCAAACAGCAAGUAAUGCAGGUAUAGAAGCACGGUAACUAGGAAAACCUAGGAAGAAACCUAGAGAGGAACCAGGCUAUGAGGGGUGGCCAGUCCUCUUCUGGCUGUGCCGGGUGGAGAUUAUAACAGAACAUGGCCAAGAUGUUCAAAUGUUCAUAAAUGACCAGCAUGGUCAAAUAAUAAUAAUCACAGUAGUUGUCGAGGGUGCAACAAGUCAGCACCUCAAGAGUAAAUGUCAGUUGACUUUUCAUAGCCGAUCAUUGAGAGUAUCUCUACCGCUCUUUCUGUCUCUAGAGAGUUGAAAACAGCAGGUCUGGGACAGGUAGCACGUCCGGUGAACAGGUCAGGGUUCCAUAGCCGCAGGCAGGACAGUUGAAACUAGAGCAGCAGCACGGCCAGGUGGACUGGGGACAGCAAGGAGUCAUCAUGCCAGGUAGUCCUGAAGCAUGGUCCUAGGGCUCAGGUCCUCCGAAAGAGAGAAAGAAAGAGAGAAAGAGAGAAUUAGAGAGAGCAUACUUAAAUUCACACAGGACACCGGAUAAGACAGGAGAAAUACUCCAGAUAUAACAGACUGACCCUAGCCCCCCGACACAUAAACUACUGCAGCAUAAAUACUGGAGGCUGAGACAGGAGGGGUCAGGAGACACUGUGGCCCCAUCCGAUGAUACCCCCAGACAGGGCCAAACAGGCAGGAUAUAACCCCACCCACUUUGCCAAAGCACAGCCCCCACACCACUAGAGGGAUAUCUUCAACCACCAACUUACCAUCCUGAGACAAGGCCGAGUAUAGCCCACAAAGAUCUCCGCCACAGCACAACCCAAGGGGGGGUGUCAACCCAGACAGGAAGACCACGUCAGUGACAACCCACCCAAGUGACGCACCCCUCCUAGGGAUGGCAUGGAAGAACACCAGUAAGCCAGUGACUCAGCCCCUGUAAUAGGGUUAGAGGCAGAGAAUCCCAGUGGCGAGAAUAGAUGUUUCAGCGGUUGUCGGUCUUCGCAUUCAAUGGUACAUAAUUUCUAGCUGCAGACUAGUAAUUAGUAUCGAAAGAGUUGCUCUUAUUCUGUCGGAUCAAUAGUCUCAGAGUUUAACCACGUGGUAUGGUUAAGAAUUCAGCAACCAUUACAACCUUAGCUUAUACUGAGGUUUUUCUGGUCUCUACUCCAACCUUUGCUCCCUCAGCUGACCGAGGUAUGCAUGGUCUCAAGUGGGUUUCUUCAGGUGGGGUUUUUAUUCGGAACAGUAGAAAAGGGCUGUCCCAUGAGCCAGAUCAUGUCUGUGUUCAUGGGGGCAGGCCAAUGACUUAGUUAAACUAUAAAGGUAAUACAAUUCUCUCACAUUAAGGGUUUAAAAUCACAUUACAUAAUUUCACAAAUAGUUUCAUCUUUACUCAUUCAUUUUAUACAAUAAUUAGACGCAACCCUCAUAACAGAGGCUCCUGUAUAAACAGAGUUAUGGUAAUGUGGCUGUAUUGUCUUUUCAUGAUGUUUUGUUUCAUAUUACAGCCUGAAACAAAACGGACCGGGUCGUAGCUGGCUACUCCACCGAAAGUUUACACGUUCUCCAAAACAUGGAUAUUGUUCAGUUCUCAAGUUCUGUGGUAUAGAAGAAGUUCCUUUGUUCUACUGUGAAACUCUCUCUCUCUAUACUGCCUGGCCAGGGGGAGAGAGUCUCCUCCAGGAAUUUAUGACCUGAGAUAACAGAACCUGGGUGUAGGAGAAGGAGGGAGAGGGGGAAGGUACUCGCUAUACCCAAAGAGGGCCACAUCAUGACAGUGGAUAUAGAUACUUUUGUACCUGUUUUCUCCAGCAUCUUCACAAGGUCCUUUGCUGUAGUCCUGGGAUUGAUUUGCACUUUUCGCACCAAAGUACGUUCAUCUCUAGGAGACAGAACGCAUCUCCUUCCUGAGCAGUAUGAGGGCUGCAUGGUCCCAUGGUGUUUAUACUUGCGUACUAUUGUUUGUAUAGAUGAACAUGGUACCUUCAAGUGUUUGGAAAUUGCUUCCAAGGAUGAACCGGACUUGUGGACGUCUACAAUUAGUUUUCUGAGGUCUUGGCUGAUUUCUUUUGCUUUUCCCAUGAUGUCAAGCAAAGAGGCACUGAGUUUGAAGGUAGGGCUUGAAAUACAUCCACAGGUACACCUCCAAUUGACUCAAAUGAUGUCAAUUAGCCUAUCAGAAGCUGCUAAAGCCAUGACAUUAUUUUCUGGAAUUUUCCAAGCUGUUUAAAGGCACAGUCAACUUAGUGUAUGUAAACUUCUGACCCAUUGGAAUUGUGAUACAGUGAAUUAUAAGUGAAAUAAUCUGUCUGUAAACAAUUGUUGGAAAAAUGACUUGUGUCAUGCACAAAGUAGAUGUCCUAACCGACUUGCCAAAACUAUAGUUUGUUAACCUCUCUAGGGUAGGGGGCAGUAUUUGCACGGCCGGAUAAAAAACAUACCCGAUUUAAUCUGGUUAUUACUACUGCCCAGAAACUAGAAUAUGCAUAUAAUUGUUUGAUUUGGAUAGAAAACACCCUAAAGUUUAUAAAACUGUUUGAAUGGUGUCUGUGAGUAUAACAAAACUCAUAUGGCAGGCAAAAACCUGAGAAGAUUCCUUACAGGAAGUGCCCUCUCUGACCAUUUCUUGGCCUUCUACACUCUCUUUAUUGAAAACUGAGGAUCUCUGCUGUAACGUGACACUUCCUACAGCUCCCAUAGGCUCUCAGAAGGCGGCAGAACGUUGAAUGAUGACUUUGCAGGCCAUGGCUGAAAAACAGUAGCGCAUUUGGUAAGUGGUUGAUCAGAGAACAAUGAGACUGGUGCUCGCGUGCAUGAGAAGAGUCCAUUUUAGAUUUUUAGUCUUUGAACGAAAACAGGGUUUCCCGGUCGGAAUAUUAUCGCUUUUUUACGAGAAAAAUCGCAUAAAAAUUGAUUUUAAACAGCGUUUGACAUGCUUCGAAGUACGGUAAUGGAAUAUUUCGAAUUUUUUUGUCACGAUACGCGCCGGCGCGUCACCCUUCGUUACCCUUCGGAUAGUGUCUUGAACGCACGAACAAAACAGAGGAUAUUUGAACAUAACUAUGGAUUAUUUUGAACCAAACCAACAUUUGUUAUUGAAGUAGAAGUCCUGGGAGUGCAUUCUGAUGAAGAACAGCAAAGGUAAUCCAAUUUUUCUUAUAGUAAAUCUGAGUUUGGUGAGUGCCAAACUUGGUGGGUGUCAAAAUAGCUAGCCCGUGAUGGCGAGCUAUCUACUCAGAAUAUUGCAAAAUGUGCUUUUGCCAAAAAGCUAUUUUAAAAUCGGACAUAGCGAUUGCAUAAAGGAGUUCUGUAUCUAUAAUUCUUAAAAUAAUUGUUAUGUUUUUUGUGAACGUUUAUCGUGAGUAAUUUAGUAAAUUCACCGGAAGUUUGCGGUGGGUAUGCUAGUUCUGAAUGUCACAUGCUAAUGUAAAAAGCUGUUUUUUGAUAUAAAUAUGAACUUGAUUGAACAAAACAUGCAUGUAUUGUAUAACAUAAUGUCCUAGGAGUGUCAUUUGAUGAAGAUCAUCAAAGGUUAGUGCUGCAUUUAGCUGUGGUUUGGGUUUAUGUGACAUUAUAUGCUAGCUUGAAAAAUGGGUGUCUGAUUAUUUCUGGCUGGGUACUCUGCUGACAUAAUCUAAUGUUUUGCUUUCGUUGUAAAGCCUUUUUGAAAUCGGACAGUGUGGUUAGAUUAACGAGAGUCUUGUCUUUAAAAUGGUGUAAAAUAG
rnacentral:lncRNA from 1 species